rnacentral:sRNA from 1 species
GCUGGGUGCUGUGGUGCAUUCCUGUAAUCCCAACAACCCAGAAGGCUGAGGCAGGAGGAUCACAAGUUCAAAGCCAGCCUCAGCCAAAGUGAGGCAUUAAGCAACUCAGUGAGACCCUGUCUCUA